GUCAUAAGCUGACCAUUAUACAUAAGUAGAGGCAAGUUCAGCUCUCUCAUUUAUCAGACAUGGAUAAGCUUGUUGAGGUUCCGGUGUCUUUCCCUGCUUGCUACUUCAACAAGGCCUUCCUCGGAUCAAACCACUUCUUCCUCUCAGUUAUGGGAUUUACACAGGGUUGAGUCCUUCUGUCCCAGAACAGGACAGACAACGAGUUAGUUGGAGUCGACAGGCACUUGAGCUUAUCUGGAAGAUUUGUGGUUCUCUACUCCUCUUCAUUGCCCAAUAAUUCCUUAGGAUGAUUACAGC